UACGAAGGGUGCAAGCGUUACUCGGAAUUACUGGGCGUAAAGGGUGCGUAGGUGGUUUGUUAAGUCUGCUGUGAAAUCCCCGGGCUCAACCUGGGAAUGGCAGUGGAUACUGGCAAGCUAGAGUGCGGUAGAGGGUAGUGGAAUUUCCGGUGUAGCGGUGAAAUGCGUAGAUAUCGGAAGGAACAUCAGUGGCGAAAGCGACUUCCUGGUCCAGCAUCGACGUUCAGGCACGAAAGCGUGGGGAGCAAACAGG
rnacentral:rRNA from 1 species